UACGGAGGGUGCGAGCGUUGUCCGGAAUCAUUGGGCGUAAAGGGCGCGUAGGUGGCUCGGUCAGCGUGCGGUGAAAGCUCGGGGCUCAACCCUGGACCUGCAUUCGAUACGGGCAGACUAGAGUUCGGCAGGGGAGACUGGAAUUCCUGGUGUAGCGGUGAAAUGCGCAGAUAUCAGGAGGAACACCGGUGGCGAAGGCGGGUCUCUGGGCCGAUACUGACGCUGAGGAGCGAAAGCGUGGGGAGCGAACAGG
rnacentral:rRNA from 1 species